UACGGGAGGCAGCAGUGGGGAAUAUUGCACAAUGGGCGCAAGCCUGAUGCAACCAUGCCGCGUGUAUGAAGAAGGCCUUCGGGUUGUAAAGUACUUUCAGUCGUGAGGAAGGUGUUAAGGUUAAUAACCUUAGCAAUUGACGUUAGCGACAGAAGAAGCACCGGCUAACUCCGUGCCAGCAGCCGCGGUAAUACGGAGGGUGCGAGCGUUAAUCGGAAUUACUGGGCGUAAAGGGCACGCAGGCGGUUAAUUAAGUUGGAUGUGAAAUCCCCGGGCUUAACCUGGGAAUGGCAUUCAAGACUGGUUAGCUAGAGUCUUGUAGAGGGGGGUUAGAAUUCCAUGUGUAGCGGUGAAAUGCGUAGAGAUGUGGAGGAAUACCGGUGGCGAAGGCGGCCCCUGGACAAAGACUGACGCUCAUGUGCGAAAGCGUGGGGAGCAAAC
rnacentral:rRNA from 1 species